GAACGAACGCUGGCGGCGUGGAUAAGACAUGCAAGUCGAACGGGGCAGGUAGCAAUAUCUGUUCAGUGGCGAACGGGUGUGUAACACGUGGGCAACAUGCCUGAAAGCGCGGGAUAGCCCGGGGAAACCCGGAUUAAUACCGCAUGUGACUUGAAAGCGGCUUCGCUUUCUUUUCAAAGGUGGGGACCGCAAGGCCUGCCGCUUUCAGAUUGGCCCGCGUCCUAUCAGCUAGUUGGUGAGGUAACGGCUCACCAAGGCAACGACGGGUAGCUGGUCUGAGAGGACGACCAGCCACACUGGAACUGAGACACGGUCCAGACACCUACGGGUGGCAGCAGUCGAGAAUCUUUCACAAUGGGGGAAACCCUGAUGGAGCGACGCCGCGUGGAGGAUGAAGGUCUUCGGAUUGUAAACUCCUGUCAUGAAAGAACAAGCAAUGUGGGUGAAUAGCCUGCAGCGUUGAUAGUAUUUCAAGAGGAAGGGACGGCUAACUUCGUGCCAGCAGCCGCGGUAAUACGAAGGUCCCAAGCGUUGUUCGGAAUCACUGGGCGUAAAGAGUGCGUAGGCGGCGCGGAAAGUCAGAUGUGAAAUCCCGGGGCUCAACCUCGGAACGGCAUCCGAUACUCCCGCGCUAGAGGACUGGAGAGGAGUCUGGAAUUCACGGUGUAGCAGUGAAAUGCGUAGAUAUCGUGAGGAACACUAGUGGCGAAGGCGAGACUCUGGACAGUUCCUGACGCUGAGGCACGAAGGCC
rnacentral:rRNA from 1 species